UGGUUCAGCUCUUGAGUACACUCCUGGUCAGAGUAGGAAAAUGGAGGAAUCAGUUUGGAUUCGAAAAGCAGCUGAACCGGUUGAGCUCAUUAGAUUGGUAAAGGCACUAAAGAAGGAGCUUUGCAGAGAGGUAGUGGUUGAAUUGAACAGCCUUUGAAACUGAAGAUAACCAAUGAGAUAGUUGAGAGGCUGAAAACCUUGAGGCCCAAAUCAAAUGUUACUGAGCAGAGAGGCUGCCUCCACCUGAAUGCCAUGCGGAAGUUCAUACAGAUUAUGAUGAAUCUCUAAAUUAAGAUACAAGCCUUAGCUUUAGCUCUUCACCGGUUAGGGUUUGCUUGCAUCAAGCUAAACGUGCCAAGCCUAAUGAAAAGAGAUGUAAUAUAUGGGUAUACUGCCCGUUUGAAAGCGGUUGCCAUUUUCCAGAUAUCUAUGGACAUAGACUUGGACAGUGCUGGCUGUAAUACGCAGAAACGCUGAAACUCAAUUUUAAGGACAAGUAUCCUGAAUCAUACAGAAACUCCCAUCCAUCUGUACCACUCGUUGUUCCUUGGGCCUUUGGCAUUGUUGGUCCAUGAUAGGAUUUCACCCCAAAAAAAAGGACAAACCCUUGUCAUUGCAAUGUGACCUACGAAGGUACCAAUGUUUUGAAAAUAUCAAAAAACACAUGCAGAUAGCUUCACUGGAAUCUAUAAUCAUGGUCUCCCUGGGUUUAUAUACUUUCGUUCCUUUCAAAUUGUUUUGUAGAAAAUAGAAGAAAUAGGGAAAAAUUCUUUGUAAGAGAGAGUGGAGUGGAGUCGAUGAAGGUUAAGCUAUGCCCCAUGCUUGA